AUACGGAGGGUGCGAGCGUUAAUCGGAAUUACUGGGCGUAAAGCGCGCGUAGGCGGUUGGGUAAGUCGGAUGUGAAAGCCCCGGGCUUAACCUGGGAAUUGCAUUCGAUACUGCCCGGCUAGAGUAUGGUAGAGGGAAGCGGAAUUCCGGGUGUAGCGGUGAAAUGUGUAGAUAUCCGGAGGAACACCAGUGGCGAAGGCGGCUUCCUGGACCAAUACUGACGCUGAGGUGCGAAAGCGUGGGGAGCAAACAGGAUUAGAAACCCUUGUAGUCC
rnacentral:rRNA from 1 species